GGGGAUACUCUGGUUUCGACGGGAUAGUAGAACAAGGGUAAGCAUGUGGAAGGGCAUACUUCCUAAAAAUAGCAAAUUAAAUAUAAACGCAGAAGAUAAUAACUUCGCUUUAGCUGCCUAAUCGCAGUCUAAUGCUACUUAGUAGAUCCCACAUCUACUAACUAGUAUCAUAAUUUCGUGGGAAACCUGCAAUACAAAGCUUUGAGUAUUGUACGGCUAUAUGAAGCUACCAUAUAAUUUAUAUUGUUAGUUUUAUUAUUAUAUGGGAAUAAAACAAACUAACUAAACAUGUAGAAAGUCUUUCGGAAGCUAUUUCGGACGUGGGUUCGACUCCCACUAUCUCCACCA
rnacentral:tmRNA from 2 species